rnacentral:rRNA from 1 species
GCUCAGGAUGAACGCUAGCUACAGGCUUAACACAUGCAAGUCGAGGGGCAGCAUGGAGUUUGCUUGCAAACUCUGAUGGCGACCGGCGCACGGGUGAGUAACGCGUAUCCAACCUUCCCCUUAGUAGGGCAUAGCCCGGUGAAAAUCGGAUUAAUACCCUAUGUUGUAUUUUGAGGACAUCUGACGAAUACCAAAGGUUUACCGCUAAGGGAUGGGGAUGCGUCUGAUUAGGUAGUCGGCGGGGUAACGGCCCACCGAGCCAUCGAUCAGUAGGGGUUCUGAGAGGAAGGUCCCCCACAUUGGAACUGAGACACGGUCCAAACUCCUACGGGAGGCAGCAGUGAGGAAUAUUGGUCAAUGGGCGUAGGCCUGAACCAGCCAAGUAGCGUGCAGGAAGACUGCCCUAGGGGUUGUAAACUGCUUUUAUGCGGGAAUAAAGUCAGGUACGUGUACCUGUUUGCAUGUACCGCAUGAAUAAGGACCGGCUAAUUCCGUGCCAGCAGCCGCGGUAAUACGGAAGGUCCGGGCGUUAUCCGGAUUUAUUGGGUUUAAAGGGAGCGCAGGCGGAGGAUUAAGCGUGACGUGAAAUGUCCCGGCUCAACCGUGGAACUGCGUCGCGAACUGGUUUUCUUGAGUGAGUGCGACGUCGGCGGAAUUCGUCGUGUAGCGGUGAAAUGCUUAGAUAUGACGAAGAACCCCGAUUGCGAAGGCAGCCGGCGGGGGCGCCACUGACGCUGAGGCUCGAAAGUGCGGGUAUCGAACAGGAUUAGAUACCCUGGUAGUCCGCACGGUAAACGAUGGACGCCCGUCCUGCGGCCCUUUGAGGCUGCGGGGCCAAGCGAAAGCGUUAAGCGUCCCACCUGGGGAGUACGCCGGCAACGGUGAAACUCAAAGGAAUUGACGAGGGCCCGCACAAGCGGAGGAACAUGUGGUUUAAUUCGAUGAUACGCGAGGAACCUUACCCGGGCUUGAAUCGCGGAGGAAGCCGCCGGAGACGGCGGCGCCCCUCGGGGCUUCCGCGAAGGUGCUGCAUGGUUGUCGUCAGCUCGUGCCGUGAGGUGUCGGCUCAAGUGCCAUAACGAGCGCAACCCCUCCCCCUGGUUGCCAUCGGGUAACGCCGGGCACUCCAGGGGCACUGCCUCCGCAAGGAGUGAGGAAGGUGGGGACGACGUCAAAUCAGCACGGCCCUUACGUCCGGGGCUACACACGUGUUACAAUGGCCGGCACAGAGGGCGGCGCGCCCGCAAGGUCGCGCGAAUCCCGAAAUCCGGCCCCAGUUCGGACCGGGGUCUGCAACCCGACCCCGCGAAGCUGGAUUCGCUAGUAAUCGCGCAUCAGCCAUGGCGCGGUGAAUACGUUCCCGGGCCUUGCACUCACCGCCCGUCA